GGCAAGAGAUUCGCUGUAAUGUAUAUUGGACAAUUUUAUCCCUCCAAAAAGUCUAUAUUGACUAUCUACCCAGUCGACACAUAAUAUAAGAACUCAAACCCUAAUCUUUAGAUUUUUCUUGUCUGCAAAAGGAGAAGUCGCCGCGGCGCGAACAAGAACUCCUCCCUCGACGUGCUUAAUUGCUUUUAUAUGAUCAUCGGGGGAGGAGGAAUACACGCGACUUUCUACUGGAUUUGCAGACCGGGGUCAGGGCAUUGAGUUUGCAACUGUGGCUCGAGCUUGCAAGUGCUAUUUCUAUUUUUGUUUUUUGAAAUCAAGCAUUCUGUAUGUAUUAAACGAAGCUUCUCUAAGGAAGAUUCUAUAUUCUAUGACGGUUAGUUUAAUUGCAGCAUACCUGAUUACCUACUUAGAAUAAUAAAAACGUUUAUCAUGUUAGUUUGA